UACGUAGGGGGCUAGCGUUGUCCGGAAUCAUUGGGCGUAAAGAGCGUGUAGGCGGCCCGGUAAGUCCGCUGUGAAAGUCGGGGGCUCAACCCUCGAAUGCCGGUGGAUACUGUCGGGCUAGAGUGCGGAAGAGGCGAGUGGAAUUCCUGGUGUAGCGGUGAAAUGCGCAGAUAUCAGGAGGAACACCGGUGGCGAAGGCGGCCUGCUGGGCAGUUUGGCUGACACUGAGGCGCGACAGCGUGGGGAGCAAACAGG
rnacentral:rRNA from 1 species